GGUGGCACUUGUUAGCUAGGUGAGUUAACACUAUGCUGCCAAUACCCAUCUCGCAACAUUAGAAACAAUAGCUAAUGCUAGCUAUACAGUCGCAACAAUGAAGAACGCGAAGGGGGAGAGAUUUUCGGCACAACACCGGCAAAGGACAGCCCAACGUUACCUUGGUAUGGUUUGGUAAGCGAGUGCUCCCUUUUUAAAAACUCAUCCAUUUCGUAGCCAUCGUCUGCCAGACACUGACACGUUAAAAUAAGGACAAUAGUAAACAGACAUGUUAAUUCAUGAAUGUUUCGGUGAUUAAACAUUAAAUCAAAUAUCUGAAAACUGCUCAACCGAAACCAAUUAGACUUGCUCAUGGUGGCGGCCAUUCUUCUUCUUUGGUGGUGUUUAUCGGCGGUUGGCAUCCAAUGUUAUGGUGCAUUACCGCUACCUACUGUACUGGAGUGUGGGCCAGAGACAUGAAGCAACGAAAUCCUACCUAUUGUUUUAUUUAACCUUUAUUUAACUAGGCAAGUCAGUUAAGACAAAUUCUUAUUUACAAUGACGGCCAAACCCGGACGACGCUGGACCAAUUGUGGGAGUCGCAUUGGGUGGCGCAAUCACAACCUGAUGUGAUGCAGCCUGGAUCCUGCCAGCCGUUUCUCUUUAAAAAAAAUAUUUGAGACUGUAUCUAAUGACGUUUUACUCAGCAUACUCUUUAAACUAAUUUCCUGUAUCCCCUUCUCCCUCAUACAGGAUCUCAACCUCUCUCUCUCCCUCUCAUACUGCCCACACUGUAUCAGUACAUGCUCUACUGUCUCUAUGUCCUGGCAAUAACCACAUUUUCCUGUUGGAUGCUUUCUAAUCACAUGUAAAGUCUUACUCAUCCGGCUGUGUGCCACCCUUAGUCUUGUGAAAAUAGCCUCCUCUCUUCUGUCUCUUCCUGCCGUCCCCUCCUACCUUCUUGACGUACCAGUGACUAGAACCAUUCAAUGCUGGUCUGACCAAUCGGAAUCUAAGCUUUAAGAUUGUUUUUAUCACGCGGAUUGGGAAAUGUCCCAGUCAGCCUCAGAGUAUAACAUCGACCUAUACGCUGACUCGUGAGUGAAUUUAUAAGGAAGCGCAUUGGAGAAGUCGUACCCACUGUGAUUAUUAAAACCUACCCUAACCAGAAACCGUGGAUGGAUGGUGGCAUUCGCGCAAAACUGAAAGAGCGAACCACCGCAUUUAACCAUGGAAAGAGGUCUGGGAAUAUGGCUGAAUAUAAACAUUGUAGUUAUUCACUCCGCAAGGCAAUCAAACAAGCAAAAUGCCUGUACAGGGACAAAGUGGAGUGGCAGGGUCUACAGGAAUCAUGGACUACAAAUAGAUAACAAGCCACGUCAGCGACAACGACGUCACGCUUCCAGACAAACUAAAUUGAGGAUAAUAAAGUGCCACCGUUGCGGCCCGCUAACAAGAACUGCGCCCUCCCUCUCCGUGGCCGACAUGAGUAAAACGUUUAAACUGUUAACCCUUGCAAGGCUGCUGGCCCAGACGGCAUCCCUAGCCGCGUCCUCAGAGCAUGCGCAGACCAGCUGACUGGUGUGUUUACGGACAUAUUCAAUCCCUAUCCCCGUCUGCUGUCCCCACAUGCUUCAAGAUGACCACCAUUGUUCCUGUACACAAGAAAGCAAAAAUAACUGACCUAAAUGACUACCGCCCCAUAGCGCUCACUUCUGUCAUCAUGAAGUGCUUUGAGAGACUAGUCAAGGAUCAUAGCACCUCCACCUUACCGGCCACUCUAGACGCACUUCAGUUUGCAUACCACCCUAAGAGGUCCACAGACAAUGCAAUUGUCAUCACACUGCACACUGCCCUAUCCCAUCUGGACAAGAGGAACACCUAUGUGAGAUUUGUCUACAGCUGAACAUUCAAAACCAUAGUACCCUCCAAGCUCAUCAUCAGCUGGAGGCCAUGGGCCUCAACCCCGCCCUGUGCAAUUGGGUCCUGGACUUUCUGACGGACCACCCCCAGGUAGCGCCCCACAAGGGUGUGUGCUCAGCCCUCUCCUGUACUCCCUGUUCGCCCAUGACUGCGUGGCCAUGCACACCUCCAACUCAAUCAUCAAGUUUGCAGACGACAAAACAACAGUAGUGGGCUUGAUUAACAACGACGGCGAGACAGGGAGGAGGUGAGGGCACUCAGAGUGUGGUGUCAGGAAAACAACCUCUCACGCAACAUCAACAAAACAAAGGAGAUGACAAUUGGUGGCUGACUAAAUACUUUUUUGCCCCACUGUAUAUACUCUAUUUUAUACCAUCUAUUGCACCUUGCCUAUGCCGCUCGGUCAUCGCUCAUCCAUAUAUUUAUAUGUACAUAUUCUCAUUCACCUCUUUUAGAUUUGUGUGUAUUAGGUAGCUGUUGGGGAAUUGUUAGAUUACUUGUUAGAUAUUACUGCACUAUCGGAACCAGAAUCACAAGCAUUUCGCUACACUCACAUUAACAUCUGCUAACCAUGUGUAUGUGACCAAUACAAUUUGAUUUGAUUUGGAACUUUCCGAAGAACUUGGAAUAAAUGUCUGCCCUUAGUGUCUCUAUUCCAUUACUACUGCCAUCUCGGCACCACCACUUUUUACCUCUGCCUUGCUCAUUGAAACAUCCAUAUCCCCACUACUAAGUGCUUGUUUAGUCAGUACAUCAGCUGCCUCGUUCCCCUAUCUGUGUAAAUGGCCACAAAAUCCUGAUAUACAGUAUCCAGAUGUCUAUUAAACGAAUCAGAUGGAUCAACCCCCUCCCUAUCUUUCCGUAGUCUCUCCAACACUUCGAGAUCAGCUACUGGAGGAGGGAGUAGCCAUGGUGGGUUCACAGGAAUAACUACCGUGGGGCUAAACUCCCUUCCAUAGAGUCCCAUCUCCCUCGCCUGGGUAUUACCCACCCACCCAAAGCUCAUGUUCUGUCCUCUCUCAUGUUCCCAGCAUGCGUGUAGAAUCCCUUUUGCAGGAUGAGACACCCAUGUCCCUGUAGGUUUACCCAACCAAGCCCCCCACUUCUUCCCUGUCAGACAGAGCAUCACAUUUAGCACCUUCUUGCACUUUCCCACCACUCUCUCAAUGUGUUCUGCCCAGGUCAGCCUAGAGUCAAAGUACACCCCAAGGAACUUGAAGGCCCCCACUGGUAGCAGCCAUCUUGCUCCUCCUACUUCAAAAACAAGCCUGUGCACAUUUCCCAUUGGAUUUUUUUGUUUUAAGCCCUUCAACCAUUGGUUAAAUCAACUGCCCAGUAUUUUUUUUUAAUAUAUUUUUUAUAUCAUCUGUAUGAAUCCCAAAAGUCUACUGUAGAGGGCGCAAUUUGAACAUUCAAUCUAGUCAAUUGAGGACUACAGUACAGCUCAGGUGGCAAUACUUGAUAUACAUUUUUUGCAUGUAAGUAGCCUACGAUUCUCCAUAAAUGAUGCCCAUCUCUGGGAAUUUCAUUGAACUAUUUUUUGAAUGCAUCAUUGCUUAUCUGUUUCAGGGAUAGCAGUCAGGGCAUCAGGUUUGAACAUUGUAACUUACAGAAAGCAGCUCAUGUCUUGGCCUAGCACAGCAGGGAGUCUGAACUGGUGAGUGUGGCAUUGAAGUUUAUCACAGGCUGCUCAGGGCUCUGAUGUCUGACCUUGCUGUCACCCUCUCACUUGCAGUAUCAGUGCAUUUGAUUCACAGAAAGCAUAAUUAUUUAUAUCAUCUAGGUGACUAUACCAAAGUAAAGUUGUAGAGAUGCAUUUUAUUACAAAAUUACUUACAUUUGACCAUUAUUCUUAAGAGAAGUGCUGGAUUUAUUAGGAAUGAUGGAAGGAGUAAGGAAUUUAUAGGUAAAGUUCCCCAAAUGCAGGUCAACCCCUAUGAGUUAGCACAUUCUGAUCCAUGUGUACAGUACUUCUACUCAUCCACGUCUCAUCUCACAAAGGAUGAUAGUGGGUGUGAUUAAUGACGUUGACUAUUGACAACUAAUUGGCACCAGCCGUCUUUUGGCAACAUCCUAGGAGAAAUUAAACUAAUGCAGGUUACUGUGGGAGACGUUAUUGUUCCCUAGAGAGAGGCUGGUCAUUGAGUAACACAUUGAGGCUGGGAGGAGAGAGCCGGAAAUGAGAGCGCCGAUAUGUAGAUGUUAAGACUUCCACAGAUCAUAAGGAUCCAGCAAGUGACUUUAAAUCAUCAGUAUUUCCCCUAUAUGUCCAUAGGGAAGAUAGUGCUUACAUUGGAAAAGCUGCUGCUGAAUGUCAGCUUAUAGCUGAAACCUGAAACACCCCAGUCAGCCAGUCAGUCUGCCACAUCCACUUUCCGACACCCACAAAACACUAUUUGUGCUUUCCAUAAUCCUAAUUCCAUAGAAAUACAUUCUGUAUAGGUCUGAGUGUCAUAAACCACUGAUAUACUGUA